CUGCAGUGAUGAGUCAUGAGGUGAAUGAACUGGUAUUGCUUCCCUCCGGGGAAACUCUGACCAGGAAAUGAUCUCACAUUUAAUCUUCUCUCUGAGCAG